GGAGGCGUGGCAGAGUGGACGAAUGCGGCGCUCUUGAAAAGCGUUAGGGGUGAAAGCUCCUCGUGGGUUCGAAUCCUACCGCCUCCGCCA
rnacentral:tRNA from 1 species